GGCGCUUUGCCGCAGUGGUUACCGGGUUCGCCUGCUAUUAAGUUGAUCAGCGAAUGUGCUUUGUACACGUGCGUUUUGAUCGCACAGGCGUUG